UUGGUGAGAUCGAAGGAUUUGUAACUUAGGGUUUUAGUGAAGAUGUUGGGCGCUGGAUUGCAACAUGCCGGCGAAAGCGAGAAGGAUUCGUCAGCAUCAAGAGAACCUCCGUAGAGCUCAAAGUAACGUUACUCCGCCCCAAUCUACGACAUCUUCUGUCAGGGAGGAGUCGGAGAAUCAACUCAUGCAGCCAUCAAAUCCGGAGCCGUUGGAAUCCUCAGUGGUGGCGGUGCCGGCAACAUCAUCGUUGUGUAAUCUUGAACGGUUUUUGGAAACUGUUACGCCUUCUGUUCCUGUUCAACAUCUCUCCAAGAGAACUAUGAGAGGAUGGAGGACAAGUGAUGUGGAAUAUCAACCAUACUUUGUUCUUGGUGAUUUGUGGGAAUCUUUCAAGGAGUGGAGUGCUUAUGGUGUUGGAGUUCCUUUAAUAUUGAAUGAAGCUAAUUGUGUGAUCCAAUAUUAUGUGCCUUAUUUAUCUGGAAUUCAAAUAUAUGUAGACCAUUUGAAGUCUUCAAUAAAUUCCAGGCAACUAACUGAGGAUAUUGAUGAUAACUCAUUUACGGAUUCAAGUAGUGAUGGGAGCAGUGAUUAUGAACAGGAAAAGGGUUCUUUACAUUAUCUAAGGGAGAAGAGUAAUAAUCAUCACCCAAAGAAUGACAUUCUUCACCGAAUGGAUCAUUUUUCAAUGAAUGAUGAGAACAAUGUAGUUCAAGAAGACUUUUCUAGUGAUGAUAGUGAUUCUGCCACCACUCAAAGUUGCUUGAUAUUUGAGUACAUGGAACAUAGUUAGCCUUUGGGAACCUUUGUGUGAUAAGAUACUUGAUCUUGCACAACGCUUCCCUGAAAUGAAAAGUCUAAGAAGUUGUGACUUGCUGCCAUCUAGUUGGCUUUCUGUCGCUUGCACACACAUAAGGUUUAAAGAAACAUUAUUGCCUAUUUUGUUGUGCAAGACAAGAAACACUAUAAGGGUUAGUCAGGAUAUGGGAAUAGAGGCUCCUAUACCUAUAAGCACAAAAUUGGGAGAUUUCAAUAAUAUAUUUGGAAGAAUUAUGAGAGCUGCAGAGCAUCCUCAUUUGAGCAUCCCUGAAACUGAAGCUGGGAAAACUCGAAAACAUUAUAACAGGCUUCUUAACUUAUCUCUGAUGGUUGUUUCUGUGGGGGCUGCAGUUGCUGUUGUGGGGCUUGCUUCAUUGCUGUUGGAUAAUGUCAUACAUUAG